AGAACGAUUUUUUUAAGCGGCCGUGUUUACAUCUGCUUCAAGAACUUUGCUUGUGCUAUUCUCUUUGGCAGAAAUGCUCACUGCCUCCUUUUUUUCUUUCUACUUUUUUUUUACUCCCAGUUGAUCGUACUCAUUUAUAAAUCCGAGCCACCACAUCCUUUCCACAGAGAAGUCCUCCCUGCCUGCUUCUUUAUGCCCCCAGAGCUCCCUCUGCUUCCUUCAUGCAGCUUACCACAGAGACCAUAAGUAGGCAGAGAGGCAGGCAGAGAGAGAGAAGAGGAAGCAGAGACAAGCAGAGAGUCCAAUGUGGGGCUCGAUCCAAGCACCCCGGGAUCACGACCUGAGCCGAAGGCAGAGGCUUUAACUUACUGAGCCACCCAGGCGCCCCAGGCGUCCUACUUUAAGGACUUUCAAAUUACUCACGGGAAAGUACAGAUUCGGACACAUACUCUAAAGCCUGCAAUCCGGGUACAAGAUGAAGCGAGCUAUCAGAGUUUCUGCCAGAACUGGAAUGUGUAAGCGGACAGGAAGGUUAAGGCGAACCAUCACGCGGUUUGCAUCUCCGCCCUACUCAUGAAACCCUCUGCCCUCCCUUUCUGCCUCACCCCGAGACCCUCCUGCGGGCCAGUCACACCUGGCUACAUCUCCUAGAUGCCUUCACAACGGGACUGGCUUUAAGUGGGAUUUUUUACUCUAAGUCCUUGUCUCUCUCCCCACACUUAGCUCCACGCUGUGUGUCCUGGAGUCAGACGCUCUCAGCCCCAACCCAGGCUAAACCAGCUGGAUAAGGAGUGUGCACGGGAAGAGCCUACUGGCCGAUGACAUUGAACGGCACAGGGUUCAUAGUGAGUUAGACACGCGCGUUCCUGGUCUUUGGGAGCACCCAGGCUACAACAGGACAGGCGUCGAGGAGACGGAAUGGCUGGCUACAUACGGGAAGGAAAGACGAGAGCUAACCAGAAGAAGAGAAGGACUAAACGCAAUAGAAUCUGGGCAGAGGAGGGAAGAACCCCAGGCGGACCGAGCUGUAAGAGAAAGGCAAGCCGGUGCCUAGAAGAUGGAUUAGUUCAGACAAUCCCCAAGAUGGUUGGAAGGAUCCUGUGAACUGCGGUGAGGACAGCGGCCAGCACAAAGGCGAGUGUGGGCAGCCCCAAGCAGGCUUCGCUCACUCAAGGAGUCUCACAGAAAAGGCAAGCAAAGAAAGGGUUUCAAAUAUUUUCUUAACUGUUUCAAAAGUGCUUCAAAUAUUUUCUCAAGUGUUUUGAAUAUUUUCUUAACUUGGAAGCUCUGCUUAGUGUAAAGCAUGACAAGGGAAGGGGGGGAGAAACGAAAUUACUGAUAACAACUUCUAACAAUAGAAAAUUGUAAUAUACUGGGUUUACAGAGGUUGUACUCUUACUUUGCUUCCACACCAGAUUCACACGACUAUCACAUCCACAAUAAUGUAAAUUGUAUAACAAACCAUAUGUUUAUCGAUACAUUUCAGGAGCAAUUCUGAGCUCAUAAGACAUGCUGUGCUUUGACUUUUGCUAAACUAAUCUUUGAUAUAUUUGGACAAAAUUCAUUCAGGUACCCAGAUUGUGUUUUAUUUAACAUCAGCUCACUUCCCCCUUUCUCUUGCUUUUGGAAAACUCCCUAAAAAUCCAUUUGGCUGUUUUUGAUCACUUUAAAAUGGUUAAAAUGUUUCCUUUA